rnacentral:rRNA from 1 species
AUUGAACGCUGGCGGCAGGCCUAACACAUGCAAGUCGAACGAGUGGCGGACGGGUGAGUAAUGUCUGGGAAACUGCCUGAUGGAGGGGGAUAACUACUGGAAACGGUAGCUAAUACCGCAUACCAUCGGAUGUGCCCAGAUGGGAUUAGCUAGUAGGUGGGGUAACGGCUCACCUAGGCGACGAUCCCUAGCUGGUCUGGGAGGUUGACCAGCCACACUGGACCUGAGACACGGUCCAGACUCCUACGGGAGGCAGCAGUGGGGAAUAUUGCACAAUGGCGGAAACCCUGAUGCAGAAACGCCGCGUGCGGGAUGACGGCUUUCGGGUUGUAAACAGCUUUCAGCCAUGACGCGGUAGUGGCAGAAGAAGCACCGGCUAACUACGUGCCAGCAGCCGCGGUAAUUC